GUGCUUGCUCCAGCAGUAUAUAUACCGAAAUUGGAAUGGUACAGAGAAGAUUAGCAUGGCCCCUGCGGAAGGAUGACCUGCAGAUUCGGGAGGUAUUCCAUAUUUUU
ensembl:snRNA U6 U6 spliceosomal RNA